rnacentral:rRNA from 1 species
AUUGAACGCUGGCGGCAUGCCUAACACAUGCAAGUCGAACGAGUGGCGGACGGGUGAGUAAUGUCUGGGAACCUGCCUGAUGGAGGGGGAUAACUACUGGAAACGGUAGCUAAUACCGCAUACCAUCGGAUGUGCCCAGAUGGGAUUGGCUAGGGGGGGGGGUAAAGGCUCACCUAGGCGACGAUCCGUAGCUGGUCUGAGAGGAUGACCAGCCACACGGGAACUGAGACACGGACCAGACUCCUACGGGAGGCAGCAGUGGGGAAUAUUGCACAAUGGGGGCAAGCCUGAUGCAGCCAGGCCGCGUGUAUGAAGAAGGCCUUCGGGUUGUAAAGUACUUUCAGCGGGGAGGCGUUACCUGCAGAAGAAGCACCGGCUAACUCCGUGCCAGCAGCCGCGGUAAUUC